UAGCCUACGGGGGGCAGCAGUGGGGGAUAUUGCACAAUGGGGGAAACCCUGAUGCAGCGACGCCGCGUGGGCGAAGAAGUAUUUCGGUAUGUAAAGCCCUAUCAGCAGGGAAGAAGAAAUGACGGUACCUGAGUAAGAAGCACCGGCUAAAUACGUGCCAGCAGCCGCGGUAAUACGUAUGGUGCAAGCGUUAUCCGGAUUUACUGGGUGUAAAGGGUGCGUAGGCGGCCCUGCAAGUCAGAAGUGAAAUCCAUGGGCUUAACCCGUGAACUGCUUUUGAAACUGCAGGACUUGAGUGGAGUAGG
rnacentral:rRNA from 1 species